AGCGUAUUUCCCGGAGAGAUGCCCGAGUUUUUACACCCAAGACACUGCCCACCGGGGCCCGCCCCGUCCGGAAGAGAGAGAGAGAGAGUGGGUGAGGGAAUAUGCCGCGGAGCCCCUGCCCAGUCCCCACCAUCCUUCCCCUUCCUUCUUCCGCAUCGGCGCCACCGAGCGGCGCACCACGUGCCGCCGGCGGCGGUUCGGCCUCACGGAGAGCGGCCGCCUGACGCGUCGAUGGCCGACGGCGGAGCGACAUCGAGCGCCGCCGCUGGAGGUCGCUUCGAGGGGCGGCGGCAUGGACCGGCCGCGGGCGGGGCGUGGGUGGGCCCUCCUCUCGAAGACGCGCUCGGCGCUGGGUCACCGGCCAGUUCGGCUACCCGGACGCUGAAGUGGGGUGAUCAGGAGGACGCGCUGCUGCGGCAGCGCCUCGUCUGCACCGGCCCGCGGCGCGGGCCGAUUCGUUCCCCGCCAACGUCGUCGAACGGCGUGCCUCGUGCCGCGGCCUUCUUCCGCGCGGCCGGAGGUUCGGCCCCACGGAGAUUGGCGGGCCACGUCGGCUGCAUUUGGCCGCGCGGGGCGACGGGGAGCGCGUCGAUGGCCGCGGUGGCGUGGUGUGCGGAGCGACGGCGAGCGCCGCCGCUGAGGCUUGCUUCGAGGGGGCAGCGGCAUGGACCGGCCGGCGAGCGUGGCGUACUGGGCGUGGCCCCUCCUCUCCGUACCAAGGCCUUGUCCCUGGCACGGAGGCUGCCGAAACGGAGUCGGCGGAGAUGCGGUGGGUGGUCCCUGGCGGCGCUUAUGAAGAGGAUGAUGUCGACAGCUCCGACGACGGUGACGGCGGCACAACCACCCCCACGGUUGCCCUCUGCUCCCGUGCCGGCGGAGGCGGCUACUCGGACGCUGAAGAGGAUGUGGAGGGCGCGCUGCUGCGCCAGCGCCUCGGCCGCGCCGGUUCGUUCGACGUCCAAGCUUCCCCGGACAUUGGGGGAUGUGAUAUCCAAAAACAAGAAAUUCAGGAGGCAGUUGAGCUACCAUUGACACACCAUGAGUUGUACUGCUAUAUGGUCCUUCAGGCACUGGCAAGACCAUGCUUGCUAAAGCGGUGCCACAUCACACUACUGCUUCUGGUUCAGAGUUUGUGCAGACGUACUUGAGUGAGGUGAUGACUAGGUUUCCUUGUUUAUGCUCGAGACUCCCAGUGUAAAAAAGCUGGACUUGUUUGAACUGAAGUGUUCGGGGAGAUCUGUUAACACAAGCUGAAGAGAAUGUCCCGGCUAUAAUAUUCAUCGAUGAGGUUGACGCUAUAUCCAGUGCUUGAUUCGAUGCUCAUACUGGGGCUGACGAGAAUUCAGCGUAUUCUGAUGGAGCUACUCAAUCAGGUAAAAGUUUCUAGCUAUAAUUGGUUUGCUGGAACUCAAGUUGUUUGCCACUUUAAUCCUUGAAAUCAAGCAUUUGGAACAUGCAUACAAUCCUUGAAAUCAAGAUUGUAAACCUCAGUUGUUUAGUUCCAAUUUUUACAAAAUGUAUACAUGCUCUUAGAAUUAGUAUCUGUGAUUUUUUAAAGGAUUGGAAGUAACUUCCUGAAAAGGCUACUGUUAAGACUACUACAUGCAACUUUCUCAUGCCUUUAACUCUAUUUAUUGCCUGCUUCUGCUACAUCUGAAAUGGAGAGAUUGAUCUAUUGUAACUCAUUUGGCCCGAAUUUGGAUUACAAAGCUAUUAAUGCUGGAAAGAGUGGCAGAGGGCGCAUUGAGGAGUGGUAGCCUAAUUAGAGGAGGAAUGUUUGCUUUAUACUCUCUAUAAUAUGCAGAAAUGCAAAGGCUAGUCCGCUCCCUAACUAAUUGCUCUCUGGCAACCGUAUAUUAGGUUUCCAACUCAAGGUACCAUUGGUCGAACACAAGAUGUCUUUGUGGAUCAAGGAGCACCUUGAGACUUCAUCUACGCUGAAGAAGCUACUUUUGAUGCUUGUUCUCUUUGGUACUUCUAUGGUCAUAGCGGAUGGUGUUGUCUGUUGUCACACCAGCAAUAUCAGGUUCAUAUAUUUCUGAUGCAUUGUUCGUCGUAUUUCUCUUCACCUAGUCUUAUGAUCUUAUAUAUUUGCUUUCAGCAGUGCCAUUGUGUUACCAGUUUUCAUCUUCUCACAGUAUUACUUGCAUUUUUUUUCCCUUUCGGUAAAAUCUGCAGUGAUAUCUGCUGUUAAUGGCUUGAAGGUUGGAAUAUCUAGUCUUAAUAACGUGACCUUGAAUAUGUUGGUUGGUAUUAACCAGUUAAAUAGAAAAAUGUGUUACUGGACAGAAGUGCAGGAUAGUCACCUUCUAUUUUGAUUUUUUUUUACGCAUUUCUCACUGUUCUUCAGUCUGUAAAGGUUUGGAACAUUCAAAGUCGGGCUAACUGUUGGACCUGCCUUGUUCAUAUGGUUUUGCUGCCUUUCUGGGAUAGGAGUUUAUAACAUUAUGACAUAUGAUACAGAAGUACUACGGGCAGUCAGACCUAUAUAUAUCUACUACUAUUUUGAAAGAAACCCAACUCAAGCUUGGAUGUCUCCCUGGGGCUGCCUUUUAUUUUCAACAUGUAUGCUUAUUGACCAUAUUCUUAAUGUUAGUUGUGAUUAAACUUGUUUGAAGUUCUCCAAGAAUGUGUUUUCUUCAGGUCCAUAGUUUUUGCUUGAGUUACAUAAAAUUAGUUAUUGUCUGUCACGUCCUUUCGUUUUUUUUCUAUAGGAAUUCUGAAACUCAUAAAUAUGUUGAGUGCAUUUGUGGUGUUACUAAACAUAACUAGACCUCCUGUUCUUACUAUUAACUACGCCACAUGCAAUGCACGUCAUGACCAAAUUCAACAUCCUGCGUCAGAUUGUGGAACCUCUGUCUUAAAUGCAAAACAUCAUGUGCAUCUGGAUUUGACAUUAUGGAAAAGAGAAAACUAAUUUCGAGAUAUAAGCCACUCAUGCUAAAACUAUUCUUUCGAGAUAUGUGCCACUCAUGCUUCUAUUUUACUAAGAUACUAAAACUAUUUGCAUCGUCACCAACAUGAUGCAUUUCUGAAACUCAGGUCCUCACAGAGAUCCUAGAAAGAUUGAAAUGGUUUCCCCCCUCUUAUAUUUAGAGUCAGCAUCCAGUAUAUUCACAGGCCACUUAAUUAAUAGUUAAAGCUACCUCAACUUAAGAUUAGAGGUCAAACAUCAGGGCAAAUAGAUUAGAGAAUAGUACUUUUCCUUGAGCUUUAUGUUUAGUAAUGAUUGUUCUGUAUAUUUGGCAGGAGGAAUAUUUGCUUUAUACUCUCUAAUACUAUGCAGGAAUGCAAAGGCUAGUCUGCUCCCUAACUAACUGCUCUCUGAGACCCGUAUAUCAGGUUUCCAACUCAAGCGGAUGGUGUUGUUACACCAGCAAUGUCAGGUAAAUCUGCUGUGAUGUCUGCUGUAGAUGGCUUGAAGGCUGGAAUAUCUAGUGUUAAUGAAGGUGAAGUGGUCACGACGUUGCAUUUCUCGUUGUUCUAUUCAGUCUGCAAAGGUUUGGAACACGUAAAGUUGGCGUGCUGUUAGGCCUGCUUUAUUCAUAUGGUUUUGCUGCCUUUCUGGGACAGGAAUUUAUAGCAUAAUUACAUAUGGUACAGAAGUAUUACAGGCAUUCGGUCCUAUAUAUUAUAUCCAUUUUGAAAGAAACCUAACUCAAGCUUGGACCUCUCCAGGGGGCUGCCUUUUAUGUGAAACAAGAUCCGAGGUAAUGUUUGCUGAUUUGCUACUCUGUUAGAUCAGUUCAACUAGUCUAUCAGUUCAGCUUAACUUUGCAUGUCUUGUUCUUCCAUGCCUUCUACUGGGUUACCCAGGGCAACCUGCAGUUUUUGUGAAGAACUUGACUGAAAAUGAGAAGGUCUUCUGUCUAUCCUGAGUACUAUUUCAAAUCUUAUAUGUUUAUUGCCAUGCAAUGUUUUCACACAUUAUGAAAUAAUUUUUAAUAUUAUAGUGCACUAAGCUUCUUUUUACUAUGUCUAACGAUUUAUGCAACAAACUUGUAAUAAUUUACUCCAUCCAUGCGGAUUUUACCGUGUUUCUCAGGAUAUACAUAGUGUUGAAAUUGCUACAAGUGGAUCUGUUCAGUAUGUGCCUAUAUCAUAUAAAUUGAAUUCGGUUGUUGAGAACAGUUGUCGGUUCAAUAUUUCUUUGUGCUAGGUUGCCUUCUCCAUCUUUUUUUUUUGAGAGUACAGUUGCCUUCUCCAUCUUGAUGGACUUGCAUGGUACUGUUUAGUCUCCUUACAACCGCUGAUCCCACUAUUUGACUUGGAUCUGGAAACAUACAUAAUAUUUGAACAUAUGUUAUUUUGAAUGAAAAGCAAUGUCCUAAGUCAUCCAAUCACUGAUUUGUUAUAUAUAUGAUUCCUCUCUUUCAUUCGAAUUAUCACCACUACCGCCACAUGAUCUUUCUAAUGCCCAGUAUUUACUACAAGCAUAGCUGAACUUGGGGUCAUGACGAUCACUACAAUAUUGGUGACCAUCAUAAUGCUUCUGCUAUGGCAGGCCAACAUCAUUGUCGUUAUAUACUUUCUCACCCCCUGUGCCUGGAGCAAAUUUUCUUUUCUUCAGGUUUGGGGAGUGUACCAGAUGGUAGUUGGGUUCUUUUGGUAUUCGCGGCUGUACUGUAUUUGACAAUGUACCUGAGGAAAUAUGAGAUCAAGUUGAAGUACGGAACUGAGGUUAAGCAAAAGCUUUUGGUGGAUUUAAUGAUCUUUGGUCUUUUCCUGACCAUAAUGCCUGCCAUUUAUUCGAUGAUCUUUUUUGUCUGCAUCAAGUGGGUCUCUGUUCCUGUUGUUCCUCAGAAUGAAAGGUUUCUGUUUCGCCGGUCUGCCCCCAAAGAACUACCACAUGUUUAGCUGCAUUGCUUGGUACAAGCAUAGAAAAGGCUGUUUUGGAAACAGAAUAAAAGUACAUUUCCUCUGAAAAUGAUGUAUACUGAUCACGCUGGAUUGAAACCUGAAUGCAUCUAUUCAUGUUUGGUACCGUUACUGCUACAACAAUCUGUUUUUCAUGUAAUGCCUGAUUUACAUAUGGAAUAUACUAGUGUUAGUAUCUCUGACAGCUUUGUUUGUGAACAUGUAGGCUGGGCAGGCGGUCAACUGGAGACGACAUGGGGCAUGGCUCUUUGCGUGGAGCUCUUUCACUUGAGUCCAGAGAUCUUUUUCUACUACUAUUGUACUUGAGUCCUUUCGGAAUUACUUGUCACAAAAGUGGAUAAAAAUGGAUGUAUCUACAAUUAAAAUACAUUUAGAUACAUUCAUUUCUAGGACGAGUAAUUCCGAACGGAGGGAGUACUUGAGUCCUCUUUGGACACUAUCAAGAAAACCAUUCGAUUAGAUGCGGAUGUGUUUUGUUAA